AUUUUUAAAAUUUCUUGUAAAGUAAUAUUUGAUUCUGGUAUUUAAAAUUAGUUUUGUCAUUGUUAUUACAUGGAAAUUUUGGUGUUUAAAUUGCUCUAAAUGGGUUGUUUAUAUGUUCAGUUUUGUUUUUUAGUUUAAUUAAGUUGUUUUAGAUCUAGGUAAUGAUAAUAUAACUGUAAAAGGUUGUGCCAGCAUAUGCGGUUAUACAUCUGGUUAGAGUUAAUUUUGUUGAUUUAUAUUUAUGAUUUUUUGUUUGGGCAUGUUUUUGAUUUAUUAUGGGUAAAAUUUUGAUUUUAAUUUAAUGUCUUGGUUAUUUAUUAUAUGAAAGUUGGUUAUUAGACUAGGAUUAGAUACCCUAUUAUUCCAAUUGUAGUUUUUAGUUUUAUUAUUGUUAGUUUUGUUCUUUAAAUUAAAAGAAUUUGGCGGUAAUUUAAUCUUUCCAGAGGAACCUGUCCUUUAAUUGAUAAUCCACGUUGGAUUUUACUUUAAUUUUUUGGUUUGUAUACCUCUGUCAUUGAAUAUCUUAUUAGGGUUAUGAUUUUCUUUAAUUAUUAAUGUAUUUUAUGUCAAGUCAAGGUGCAGCUUAUUAAAGGUUGAGAUGGGUUACAUUUAAUGUUAAUUUAUUGAAUUAUUUAUUUUAAUAUUUUUAUGAAAUUGGAUUUGGAAGUAAAUUUUAUUAUUUUAUAAAAUUGAUUGCUUGGCUCUAAAUUAUGUACAUAUCGCCCGUCACUCCUGCCUUAAAGUAGGAUAAGUCGUAACAAAGUAAUUUUAUCGGAAGAUGGGGUUUGAAGAUU
rnacentral:rRNA from 1 species